GCUACCAUGCAAGUCGAGCGGAUGACGGGAGCUUGCUCCUUGAUUCAGCGGCGGACGGGUGAGUAAUGCCUAGGAAUCUGCCUGGUAGUGGGGGACAACGUUUCGAAAGGAACGCUAAUACCGCAUACGUCCUACGGGAGAAAGCAGGGGACCUUCGGGCCUUGCGCUAUCAGAUGAGCCUAGGUCGGAUUAGCUAGUUGGUGGGGUAAUGGCUCACCAAGGCGACGAUCCGUAACUGGUCUGAGAGGAUGAUCAGUCACACUGGAACUGAGACACGGUCCAGACUCCUACGGGAGGCAGCAGUGGGGAAUAUUGGACAAUGGGCGAAAGCCUGAUCCAGCCAUGCCGCGUGUGUGAAGAAGGUCUUCGGAUUGUAAAGCACUUUAAGUUGGGAGGAAGGGCAGUAAGUUAAUACCUUGCUGUUUUGACGUUACCGACAGAAUAAGCACCGGCUAACUCUGUGCCAGCAGCCGCGGUAAUACAGAGGGUGCAAGCGUUAAUCGGAAUUACUGGGCGUAAAGCGCGCGUAGGUGGUUUGUUAAGUUGGAUGUGAAAGCCCCGGGCUCAACCUGGGAACUGCAUCCAAAACUGGCAAGCUAGAGUACGGUAGAGGGUGGUGGAAUUUCCUGUGUAGCGGUGAAAUGCGUAGAUAUAGGAAGGGAACACCAGUGGCGAAGGCGACCACCUGGACUGAUACUGACACUGAGGUGCGAAAGCGUGGGAGCAAACAGGAUUAGAUACCCUGGUAGUCCACGCCGUAAACGAUGUCAACUAGCCGUUGGAAUCCUUGAGAUUUUAGUGGCGCAGCUAACGCAUUAAGUUGAC
rnacentral:rRNA from 1 species